rnacentral:rRNA from 1 species
UACGUAGGGGGCGAGCGUUGUCCGGAUUUAUUGGGCGUAAAGAGCGUGUAGGCGGCCAGGUAGGUCUGCUGUGAAAACUCGAGGCUCAACCUCGAGACGUCGGCGGAAACCAUCUAGCUAGAGUCCGGAAGAGGAGAGUGGAAUUCCUGGUGUAGCGGUGAAAUGCGCAGAUAUCAGGAAGAACACCCGUGGCGAAGGCGGCUCUCUGGUACGUGACUGACGCUGAGACGCGAAAGCGUGGGGAGCGAACAGG